UUUCAGCCUUGUCACUCAUGGAACUUGGGA
rnacentral:piRNA from 1 species